rnacentral:tRNA from 1 species
GGGACUGUAGCUCAGUGGUAGAGCACUCUCUUAGCAUGUGUGAGGUACGAGGUUCAAUCCUCAGUACCA